AUUGAACGCUGGCGGCAGGCCUAACACAUGCAAGUCGAACGAGUGGCGGACGGGUGAGUAAUGUCUGGGAAACUGCCUGAUGGAGGGGGAUAACUACUGGAAACGGUAGCUAAUACCGCAUACCAUCGGAUGUGCCCAGAUGGGAUUAGCUGGUAGGUGGGGUAAAGGCUCACCUAGGCGACGAUCCCUAGCGGGUCUGAGAGGAUGACCCGCCACACUGGAACUGAGAAACGGGCCAGCAGCCUCAGGGAGGCAGAAGUGGGCAAUAUUGCACAAUGGGAGCAAGCCUGAUGCAGCCAUGCCGGGUGUAUGAAGAAGGCCUUCGGGUUGUAAAGUACUUUCAGCGGGGAGGCGUUACCCGCAGAAGAAGCACCGGCUAACUCCGUGCCAGCAGCCGCGGUAAUUC
rnacentral:rRNA from 1 species